rnacentral:lncRNA from 1 species
CAUCCUCCUUCAGUGCUGCUCUCAAGCUCUCCUGAGCCUCUGGAAGCAAAGGAGAAAAACAACCCACCAGUAACCGGAAGGAGCACGAGAAAGUAAAGAAGCCAUCUGUCAAAUGCCCAUAGUCUCUGAGAAUGGAGUCCUAACCAAAGGUCAGAAGAGUCUUUGCUCUUGUGU